rnacentral:rRNA from 1 species
UACAGGGGGUGCAAACGUUGCUCGGAAUUAUUGGGCGUAAAGCGCGCGUAGGCGGCUAUCUAAGUCGGAUGUGAAAGCCCCUGGCUUAACUGGGGAAGUGCACCCGAAACUGGGUAGCUAGAGUGCAAAAGAGGGUCGCGGAAUUCCCGGUGUAGUGGUGAAAUGCGUAGAUAUCGGGAGGAACACCAGUGGCGAAGGCGACUACCUGGCCUGUUCUUGACGCUGAGGCGCGAAAGCUAGGGGAGCAAACGGG